GUCAGUGUGGUAUAAUGGUUUGAGCACUGGACUAUGACUCUGGAGACCAGGGAUCAAAUCCUUGUUCAGCCU
rnacentral:tRNA from 1 species